rnacentral:rRNA from 1 species
UACGUAGGGUGCGAGCGUUGUCCGGAAUUAUUGGGCGUAAAGAGCUCGUAGGCGGUGUGUCGCGUCGGUCGUGAAAACUUGGGGCUUAACUCUGAGCUUGCGGUCGAUACGGGCAUCACUUGAGUUCGGCAGGGGAGACUGGAAUUCCUGGUGUAGCGGUGAAAUGCGCAGAUAUCAGGAGGGAACACCGGUGGGCGGAAGGCGGGUCUCUGG